UUAUACAAUGAAGAGUUUGAUCCUGGCUCAGGAUGAACGCUAGCGGCAGGCUUAACACAUGCAAGUCGAGGGGCAGCAUGUCGGAACCUUCGGGUUCUGACGAUGGCGACCGGCGCAAGGGUGCGUAACGCGUGAGCAACUUGCCCGUUUCUGGGGAAUAACCGUUGGAAACGACGACUAAUACCCCAUGGCAUUGAGUUGAGGCAUCUCAUCUCAAUUAAAGAACUUCGGAAACGGAUAGGCUCGCGUGACAUUAGAUAGAUGGCGGGGUAACGGCCCACCAUGUCGACGAUGUCUAGGGGUUCUGAGAGGAAGGUCCCCCACACUGGAACUGAGACA
rnacentral:rRNA from 1 species